rnacentral:rRNA from 1 species
AGUGAACGCUGGCGGUAGGCCUAACACAUGCAAGUCGAACGGCAGCACAGUAAGAGCGUGCUCUUACGGGGGGCGAGGGGCGGACGGGUGAGGAGUACGGCAGAAGCUACUUUUUCGGGGGGGAUAACUGAGGGAAACUGACACUAAUACCUCAUACGAUCUACGGGUGAAAUCAGGUGAGCUUCGUACCUUUCCCGAAUGAAUGAACCGAUGUCGGAUUAGCUAGUUGGCGGGGAAAAGGCCGACCAAGGCAACGAUCCGUAGCUGGCCUGACAGGAUGAUCAGCCCAACUGGAACUGAGAAACGGCCCAGACCCCUACGGGAGGAAGCAGUGGGGAAUAUUGGAAAAUGGGCGCAAGCUUGACCCAGACAUCCCGCGGGGGUGAAGAAGGCCUUCGGGUUGUAAAGCCCUUUUGUUGGGAAAGAAAAGCAGCAGGUUAAUAACCCGCUGUUCUGACGGUACCCAAAGAAUAAGCAACGGCUAACUUCGUG